rnacentral:rRNA from 1 species
UACGUAGGGUGCAAGCGUUGUCCGGAAUUAUUGGGCGUAAAGAGCGUGUAGGCGGCUAGGUAGGUCCGUUGUGAAAACUCGAGGCUCAACCUCGAGACGCCGAUGGAAACCAUCUGGCUAGAGUCCGGAAGAGGAGAGUGGAAUUCCUGGUGUAGCGGUGAAAUGCGCAGAUAUCAGGAAGAACACCCGUGGCUAAGGCGGCUCUCUAGUACGGUACUGACGCUGAGACGCGAAAGCGUGGGGAGCGAACAGG